rnacentral:misc_RNA from 1 species
AGAGCUUGCCUACUGCAGUGAGCGUGUUUUGCACGUGCGAGUUGUGCAGAAGCCACGUGACGAAGGUGACGUGGUGAGAUUGAAUGUGAGUUUAGCCAUUCGAGGUCUUCGCACUACACAGCGAGCAGCUUUUUUCAGUCAACAUUCUGCUAUGAGUCGCCAUUCGGUUUCCCCUUCACACCAUUCGGAGGAUUCUCAUACACCUAACAAGAAUAAGCAGCAGGAACCCAUUGAAGGUUAUGAAACAUUUCAAUUAUUUAAAGAUUAUAUGGACUGCAAACUAAAGACAUUUAAACGUGACAUUAUUGAAGAGAGUGAAGAAAGGUCAUUCUCAGCGUUCAAAAGGGCUCAUAAAGAUUCAGAGAUUCCUAAUUUUAGGUUUAAAGGCAACCAACUUCAGUAUAAAUUUAAUACUGGUUGUUUGGAUAAGAUUGACAGUGCUUUCAGAUAUAUUAAGAGCAGCAAGUAUUCUGAUUGUGUGGGGAUUCUCCAAGAUCUCUCUUCAGAUAUCUCGAGGAGGAACAAGUAUAUCCGCUUAGCGGAUCGUUCUCCAUCUGGCUGGGCCGUUGUAGCUGAACUAGAGGGAGACGAUAUUGCCUCUGGGUCCGAGGAAGAACGUAGAUUCGAGAAAGCUGAGAAUAAAGCCCUCCGUAAACGACGUGCGUCCUCGUUCCGGUCCAGAGGAAAACCUAGCUAUGUUUCACCUAGCGCUACUGUCUCUUCUGCUAGCAUGGUUGAUGCUUCCAGGGACUCUACAGCCGGUCAGAACCAGCCUUUUCGUCCCAUGGUCAAACGAGGUCCAUCUCCCAACCAACAGUGCUACUUCUGUGGAGGUUUCGGCCACUGGAGGAUCUCCUGUCCUGCGGCAGCUUCACUACGUGCAGCCCAGUCAGCCAGCUCCGAUUCAAUACAGUCCAACCAAGUUGUCAAGAAGUAGAGAAUUCACUUCAGGUAAUUGUGUUUCUGUAAUAUCUGAAGUUGUUCCUUUUAGUCAAUUGAACAGUGUGUAUCUUUCCUGAGAGAUUCUUUAAAAUUGUUUUAGGUCGAGUUUCUGCGGGAAGUUGCAGUUCCGAUGUUCAGGUGCCAGCAGUCCAUGAAACCAAGAUACGACAGAGGGAUGCUACCUGUGCUUCAGAUUUUGACAUUGAUAAUUCAGCAGGUUUAGGAGAUCGUGGGUACCGGAUACGGAGGCAGUUGAUGCAUUUACUCAGCAGUGGCAUGGGGAGAACAACUGGGCAGUUCCUCCUGUACAUUUGGUGUGUAAAACUGUACAUUUUAUCUUAGCAUGCAAUGCUCCUACUACUUUAGUGGUGCCUAUGUGGCCAUCCGCUCCAUAUUGGCCCUUGUUGUUCCUGGAAGGUCAACCCAGAAAUUUCAUUGCAGAUAUGAUUCAGUUGAGUGGCAGCAGCGCUGUCUCAGGUGGGAGCAAGCAGUCUAUAUUCAAUAAUUUCAAGGGGUUCGUGUUAGCUCUCAGAUUUAACAAUUGAUUAUAUAUCUUUUCAGGUAUGUUUUCCGUUGGUAUAUGGAAAGAGAAAGAUGCUCUGGUGCACCAAGAUUUAGUUGACUUAUCUACGAAAAUGCCUGAUAUAGUUUUAAAAUCUAAAGCAGAUACUACAGUUAUAAAAUAUAGAAGAGCUUUUACAUGCUGGAAAAAAUGGGCCUCACGGUUUAAAGAAAUAAGUGUUUUGCCUGCAAAUUCUUUUCAUGUAGGCUUAUACCUUACGUCAUUGCUUCAGUCGGGUAAAAGGUCUCCUGUUAUUAUGGAAGCUGUGUACGGUAUAAGAUGGGCGCACAGAGUGGCGGGUCUACCAGAUCCAUGUCAACAUGACCUAAUUA